rnacentral:rRNA from 1 species
AUUGAACGCUGGCGGCAGGCCUAACACAUGCAAGUCGAGCGGGGACUUCGGUCCUAGCGGCGAACGGGUGAGUAAUGCUUGGGAAUCUGCCCAUUAGUGGGGGAUAACGUCCCGAAAGGGACGCUAAUACCGCAUACGUCCUACGGGAGAAAGAGUUGGAUCUUCGGACCUCUCGCUAUUGGAUGAGCCCAAGUCGGAUUAGCUAGUUGGUAGGGUAAUGGCCUGCCAAGGCGACGAUCCGUAGCUGGUCUGAGAGGAUGAUCAGCCACACUGGAACUGAGAAACGGUCCAGACUCCUACGGGGGGCAGCAGUGGGGAAUAUUGGACAAUGGGCGAAAGCCUGAUCCAGCCAUGCCGCGUGUGUGAAGAAGGCCUUCGGGUUGUAAAGCAAUUUAAGCGGGGAGGAAGGUUCGCGGCCUAAUACGUCGCGGAAUUGACGUUACCCGCAGAAUAAGCACCGGCUAACUCUGUG